UAACCUACCUAUAAGACUGGGAUAACUUCGGGAAACCGGAGCUAAUACCGGAUAAUAUAUUGAACCGCAUGGUUCAAUAGUGAAAGACGGUUUUGCUGUCACUUAUAGAUGGAUCCGCGCCGCAUUAGCUAGUUGGUAAGGUAACGGCUUACCAAGGCAACGAUGCGUAGCCGACCUGAGAGGGUGAUCGGCCACACUGGAACUGAGACACGGUCCAG
rnacentral:rRNA from 1 species